UACGGUGGGAGCAAGCGUUGUUCGGAUUUACUGGGCGUAAAGGGCGCGUAGGCGGCCAGCACAAGUCAGUUGUGAAAUCUCCGAGCUUAACUCGGAAAGGUCAACUGAUACUGUGCGGCUAGAGUGCAGAAGGGGCAACUGGAAUUCUCGGUGUAGCGGUGAAAUGCGCAGAUAUCAGGAGGAACACCGGUGGCGAAGGCGGGUCUCUGGGCCGAUACUGACGCUGAGGAGCGAAAGCGUGGGGAGCGAACAGG
rnacentral:rRNA from 1 species